GACGAACGCUGGCGGCGUGCUUAACACAUGCAAGUCGAACGGAAAGGCCCUGCUUGCAGGGUGCUCGAGUGGCGAACGGGUGAGUAACACGUGGGUGAUCUGCCCCUUACUUUGGGAUAAGCCUAGGAAACUGGGUCUAAUACUGGAUAGGACCAUGCUGUAGGUGGUGUGGUGGAAAGAUUAGUUUCGGUAAGGGAUGAGCUCGCGGCCUAUCAGCUUGUUGGUGGGGUAAUGGCCUACCAAGGCGUCGACGGGUAGCCGGCCUGAGAGGGUGGACGGCCACAUUGGGACUGAGAUACGGCCCGGACGCCUACGGGAGGCAGCAGUGGGGAAUAUUGCACAAUGGGCGCAAGCCAGAUGCAGCGACGCCGCGUGGGGGAUGACGGCCUUCGGGUUGUAAACUCCUUUCAGCCAUGACGAAGCCCUUGUGGUGACGGUAGUGGUAGAAGAAGCACCGGCUAACUACGUG
rnacentral:rRNA from 1 species